GCCCGGUUAGCUCAAUCGGUAGAGCGUGAGACUCUUAAUCUCAAGGUUGCGGGUAAGUCCUACGUUCAUAUUGCGAAGCAUUAGAAAUCGAACUUAGCUGACAGAAAAUCACAGGUUCGACCCCCGCAUCGGGCU